UUUUGCAGAUUCUAAAAUGAGAGAAUGCGAGCUUUCUUAUGAUGUAUCAUUUGUCAUAUUUGGACAUAAAACAUGGGCAAUUUCUUGGCCGAGCACUGUGGCUAGGACAGGAAAGGAAUUCAAAAAGUAUUAUUUCAAUGUGAUAAAAGUUAACUCUGAUAAGAAAUUAAAUACUGCAAAAAUUU